GAUCAUGGCUCAGGAUGAACGCUGGCGGCGUGCUUAACACAUGCAAGUCGAACGAAGCACUUUACCACGAUUCCUUCGGGAUGACGGUUUAGUGACUGAGUGGCGGACGGGUGAGUAACGCGUGGGUAACCUGCCUUAUACUGGGGGAGUAACAGCCAGAAAUGACUGCUAAUACCGCAUAAGCGCACAGAACCGCAUGGUUCGGUGUGAAAAACUCCGGUGGUAUAAGAUGGACCCGCGUUGGA
rnacentral:rRNA from 1 species